rnacentral:lncRNA from 1 species
UGUAGAAGGGGCCUGAGGCCCCUUCUACACUGCCAUAUUAUCCAGAUUAACAAAUCAGAUAAUCCACAUUAUCUGUUUAGAACUAUGGCCCCUUCCACACAGCUGUAUAAAAUUCACAUUGAAUUGAAUUAUAUGGCAGUGUGGACUCAGUUCAGUUCAAAGCAGAUAAUGUGGAUUAUCUGCCUUGAUAUUCUGGGUUAUAUGGCUGUGUGGGAGGGCCCUUAAUUAUGAUUGUAAAUACAAAACAACCACAGAUAGUUAAGUGUUUCAUAUUCAUGUUUACUGUCAUGAUUUCGGUAUUAUUGCAAUGACUGUAACUCUCUCCUCAACCUAUAUUGCUGGACAUCAGCUGCAAGGAGAGGCAUUUUGCUGAUGACCAGAGCAUGGUUGACUGAUAUAAUUGUACAUUUCAUGUUUCCUUUUUAGAUCUAGUUCCUGCAUACUGUUUGCAACCUCUCCUGCUUUUCUGAUUCAUGUGAUCAAAUGGCUUGCUCACUUUGGUGCUCUGUAACAUGACUUAUAUGGGUAGUGAGAAACCAUGUACUCCAGAAGCAAAAUGUCUUGCAUCAGCCUGACCACAUUUUUUUAAAAAAAUGGAACAAUAAUGAACCAUGGUGACAUCUAAUGCCCACUUCAUGUCCUCAGUUUCCUGGCUUGAGUCUAGAGUCCCACUCUGAAUUUUUCUUCAGUCUUUGAUUCUCCAACAACCAUAUUUCCAUGGUUACUUUUCAAAUCAUAGCUCUGUCGCUCUACUGUCUGGACUCCUUAACUGAUUGCACUCCUUUCUAGAACUGUCUCUGUUCCCACUGCCUCCAGGUUUUUCCUCUAAUCAUAGAUAUUUUGGCUCUGAGUAUAACUAAUACCAGUCAUUCCUCAUGGACCAGCCAGAUUAAAGUAAACAGUUGCCCCUCCACAUUUGAAGUUUUGACUUUUGCAGAUUUGAUUUAAAAUGUUCUCUCUAGGAAUCUCUACAUCCUCCAGUGUGAGUUUAUGGUCACCUUCCUGCCUGUAUACUGGAUGAUCCCAUGCCCACAUAGA